GGCAUGUGGUUGGGUGUCUUUCUGGGGGAGAGCUUUGUGGGUUUAUAGUAAUGUCUAAAAAAGAAUUUAUUUUCCUCAAAUUUGUUGAACAAAUUCACGUUGUCUCAUAGUUUAAUAUCUCCAAUCUUACUUCCAAAGUAUUACUUGAAGAUUUUCUUGAAAGAAGGACAGUACUGGUUCUUUGUAGUGUCUGCAAAUGAUCUUUUGGGGGGAGAGUUAAUCAAAAUUUACUGCAUUCUGCAGAAGUUAAUCUUUAAUAUUGCUUGAAAGAUGUUUUUACAGAUUAUGCUCCUGCCUGCUUAUGGAAUGGCUUUCAAAGCCUUAUUGGUUGUUCCUUGUUCAUGUUGAUUGUUCCCAGUGCUUUGCCCGGUGUAUAGGGAAACAUUGUAGAACUUGAAUAAAACCAUGACAUCUUAGACAAAGGAUGGUGAUUAUGUAAGUGCUGAACAAGAACUUCUUCUAUAUGCCCUUCUGCUGCAACAGAAUAUUAAAACUGGUAGGUGGCAGCAGCAGCAGAAGAAACUCAUGUGACUGUGACCUGAGAAACCUACAGUACUGGGAGAGAUGGAUUGCAAAAUAUUAACUGGAGUAAUGGGGACGGAGGAGAGAGGCAGAGUCCCUGAACUGUCCUUUUGAAUGGAAUGUAAUGCUUGUGAAAAGUUGAUGGAUCAGCAGUUGCAGAGACUGAACUCCUCUACCUGCAGGAAAGGUUUUUCUGCAUCAGCAGGAUGCGUGCUUUCCUUCUUAUUGGGACACUUAUCUCUUGGUAAUGCCCCCUUCACAGUAAAGGGAAGAAGGGACAGACCAAAAGUAAAGUGGAAUGGGGAAAUGUCCAG